CCUACGGGAGGCAGCAGUGAGGAAUAUUGGACAAUGGACGAAAGUCUGAUCCAGCUAUGCCGCGUGCAGGAUGACGGCCCUAUGGGUUGUAAACUGCUUUUAUACAGGAAGAAAAAAUCCGACGUGUCGGAUCUUGACGGUACUGUAAGAAUAAGGAUCGGCUAACUCCGUGCCAGCAGCCGCGGUAAUACGGAGGAUCCAAGCGUUAUCCGGAAUCAUUGGGUUUAAAGGGUCCGCAGGCGGUUUUUUAAGUCAGAGGUGAAAUCCUACAGCUCAACUGUAGAAUUGCCUUUGAUACUGAAAGACUUGAGUUAUUGUGAAGUGGUUAGAAUGUGUGGUGUAGCGGUGAAAUGCAUAGAUAUCACACAGAAUACCAAUUGCGAAGGCAGAUCACUAACAAUUAACUGACGCUCAGGGACGAAAGCGUGGGUAGCGAACAGGAUUAGAUACCCUGGUAGUCCACGCCGUAAACGAUGGAUACUAGCUGUAUGUCUACUUCAGGUAGAUGUGUGGCCAAGCGAAAGUGAUAAGUAUCCCACCUGGGGAGUACGAUCGCAAGAUUGAAACUCAAAGGAAUGACGG
rnacentral:rRNA from 1 species